UACGUAGGGGGCAAGCGUUGUCCGGAAUCACUGGGCGUAAAGCGCGCGCAGGCGGUCAUCUACGUCUGGGGUGAAAGCCCGGAGCUCAACUCCGGGAUUGCCUUGGAUACGGGAUGACUUGAGGAUCGGAGAGGCAAGGGGAAUUCCACGUGUAGCGGUGAAAUGCGUAGAGAUGUGGAGGAACACCUGUGGCGAAGGCGCCUUGCUGGCCGAUUUCUGACGCAGAGGCGCGAAAGCGUGGGGAGCAAACAGG
rnacentral:rRNA from 1 species